UGUGAAAUUAGCCAAUAGUGAAUAUCCUUGAUGGCCACUUUGAGAAAUUUGAAAUUUUCCUCUGCAGGGUUAUUGCGAUCCUUAUCUAUCUGGGGUCAAAGGUGAACAAGGCCCACACGGGCCAAGGGGAAAACCUGGCAAAGAUGGUGACAAUGGACUGAAGGGAGAUAAAGGAUUUGCAGGUAGCCCUGGAUACCAAGGACAACCGGUAACCAAACAAACAUUACAUGGCUGUCAUCUCUUUAUUCUUAAUUAUCUCUGGGUAUAGUUGCACUUCUGAGGCGUUGAAAAUGGUUGUGUCUGUGUUUUAGGGUGAAAAAGGAGAAAGAGGACCCCCAGGAUAUGUAAGUUCUGAAUGCUCUCGCUCUUUUUCCUCUCUGUUUUGCUCUUUCUCUCUCGCCUGUUUUAUUUGUGUCAUUGUUUCUAACAUGACUAUUGCUGGCCAGAAUCUCAAACCCUUAGUCACGGUUUCGGAUCUCCUUUGAGGACUAGGCUUAAAAUCUGGCCCUUAGGCAUUGAGAUGCUAUUCUCUUUUUGAUCCACUAGAUGUCACUAUACAGUCCUGGAAAAUGAGAGCAGCAUGAUCAGUACAAAUCUUGAAAAGUAUAAUUUAUUGCAUGCAGGGGAAAUAAUCUUUUAGUAUUCCUAUUUUGUGGUUUUAGGGAGUGGGUGCCCUUGGCCCUCCCGGACCCCCUGGUCCUCCAGGACAACAAGGAGAGAGAGGUCCAGUACACCCAUCACCCUCCAACACCACCCCUUCAUAACAAUGCACAAGAGAAGCCACUCUUAGGUUGCAUGUAGACCCCCUAGACAAACUCUGAACCUCUCCCCUUUUCUCGAUAGGUUUUCCGGGUCUACAAGGAGAUGCCGGUCCUCCAGGUGAGAGGACAAGAACACACACUUUGACCCAAUCCGUGAUCAGUGACCUGUAGCUCAUAUGUCAUCAAGAUGGUCAUGGUUUAGAUCCUCUAGGCUCUGUGCUGUGUUUGUUCACGUCCAUGAAGCUCACUAUGUGCU
rnacentral:lncRNA from 1 species